UACGUAGGUGGCAAGCGUUGUCCGGAAUUAUUGGGCAAAGCGCGCGCAGGUGGUUUCUUAAGUCUGAUGUGAAAGCCCACGGCUCAACCGUGGAGGGUCAUUGGAAACUGGGGAACUUGAGUGCAGAAGAGGAAAGUGGAAUUCCAAGUGUAGCGGUGAAAUGCGUAGAGAUUUGGAGGAACACCAGUGGCGAAGGCGACUUUCUGGUCUGUAACUGACACUGAGGCGCGAAAGCGUGGGGAGCGAACAGG
rnacentral:rRNA from 1 species